GAGCAGGUGCGAAAGCAGGUCUUAGUGAUCCGGUGGUUCUGAAUGGAAGGGCCAUCGCUCAACGGAUAAAAGGUACUCCGGGGAUAACAGGCUGAUACCGCCCAAGAGUUCAUAUCGACGGCGGUGUUUGGCACCUCGAUGUCGGCUCAUCACAUCCUGGGGCUGAAGUAGGUCCCAAGGGUAUGGCUGUUCGCCAUUUAAAGUGGUACGCGAGCUGGGUUUAGAACGUCGUGAGACAGUUCGGUCCCUAUCUGCCGUGGGCGCUGGAGAAUUGAGGGGGGCUGCUCCUAGUACGAGAGGACCGGAGUGGACGCAUCACUGGUGUUCGGGUUGUCAUGCCAAUGGCAUUGCCCGGUAGCUAAAUGCGGAAGAGAUAAGUGCUGAAAGCAUCUAAGCACGAAACUUGCCCCG
rnacentral:rRNA from 1 species